rnacentral:rRNA from 1 species
UACGUAGGGUGCGAGCGUUAAUCGGAAUUACUGGGCGUAAAGCGUGCGCAGGCGGUCUCGUAAGCUGGGUGUGAAAGCCCCGGGCUUAACCUGGGAAUGGCAUUCAGGACUGCGAGGCUCGAGUGUGGCAGAGGGAGGUGGAAUUCCACGUGUAGCAGUGAAAUGCGUAGAGAUGUGGAGGAACACCGAUGGCGAAGGCAGCACUCUGGGACGUGACUGACGCUGAGACGCGAAAGCGUGGGGAGCAAACAGG